UAGAAUUCGUGGUAAAGAAAGCCUGGUGUG
rnacentral:piRNA from 1 species